rnacentral:lncRNA from 10 species
CAGGAGGUUGCAGCCAGGCUAACAGAAACCCAGCCCUGCCCACUGGGUGAAACUGCAAGUCGAGAGCGUGGGAAACCAGCAAGUUGAGAGAGGAUCCAGAAGUAACCCCUUCUAAAACGGGAAAGAUGCCUUCCGAAAGCACUUGGCCCUAAAGAGAAAACACUAGGAGGAUGGGAACCAGGGACAGAGAAGCUACUUGCUCUGCAGCUGUUUGGGCCAAUGAUCCAAUGGCCCCAUCUAGACUGGAGACACCAACUCAUGACUCAGCUGGCCUUGUGGCCCACACCCAGAAGUGGACUCAGUGCAUGAGGACUAUUUUCCACACUCCUAUGAUAGCAUCCCCAACCAAUCAGCAGGACCAUUUCCUAGCCCCUUGCCCACCAAACUAUCUUUUAAAAAACCUGGCUGGGCGCAGUGGCUCACACCUGCAAUCCCAGCACUUUGGGAGUCUGAGGUGGGUGGAUCACGAGGUCAGGAGUUCAAGACCAGCCUGGCUAAGAUGGUGAAACCCUGUCUCUACUAAAAAUACAAAAAAAAUUAGCCGGGCAUGGUGGCAGGCACCUGUAAUCCCAGCUACUUGGGAGGUUGAGGCAGAGAAUUGCUUGAACCCAGAGGCGGAGGUUACAGUGAGCCGAGAUCACUCCACUGCACUCCAGCCUGGAUAACAGAGCAAGACUCUGUCUCAAGGAAAAAAAAAAACAACCUAGCCUCCACAUUUUCAGAGAGGCUCGUUUGAGUAAUAAUAAAACUCUGGUCUCCCAUUUAGCUGGCUCUUCUUGUAUUAAACUCUUUUUCUAUUGCAAUAACCCUGUCUUGAUAAAUUAGCUUCAUCUGGGAAGCAGGCAAGAAGAACUUAUUGGAUGGUUAUAUAGUGGGCUUCUAGCAUGGCCUAGAGAUGCAGAGGCCAUGGCAGAUAAAGCCAACUUCCUCCAACUGAGUAGAGGACUCAGGGGCCCAGAGGAGUCAGAAGGGGAGAUGGGAGCCAAGGAUGAGGAAGAACUCCUGGAAAGGCCUGAGAAAGAAGGACCCUAAGUUUAGCAUCUUAGGUCCCGAAAAAUGGCUGAAGGAGAGGAAAAGAUGGAGAGAAAGAGUAUUGUGACAUGAACCUGCCCCUGUGCCUCGAGUUCCUGGGAGUUUCUUGUUAGCUUCUGUGUCCUGUUUUUCUGUAUCCUCUGCAAAGGAAAGAUGAAAUCUGUUGCCACAUAGGCGAUGGGGUUCAGGACACACUACUCCAAAAGAUGGCAUCUUGUCAUAUUGAAGAAAAUAGCAGAAACUGGACCAUUGGUCUUACCUUUCCCCAUACUUCUCCCCUGAAGUGGAUUAUAAAACCUAGGAAGGACUCUCUGACUGAGACGGUUUGGCUGUGUCUCCACCCAAAUCUCAUCUUGAAUUGUAACUCCCACAAUUCCCACAUGUCAUGGGAGGAACCCAGUGGGAGGUGAUUGAAUUAUGGGGGCGAGUCUUUCCUGCACUGUUCUUGUGAUAGUGAAUGAGUCUCAUGAGAUCUGAUGGUUUGAUAAGGGGAAGCCCGUUUUGCUUGGCUCUCAUUCUCUCUCUUUGCCUGCCACCAUCCACGUAGGAUGUGACUUGCUCCUCCUUGUUUUCCAACAUGAUUGUGAGGCCUCCCCAGCCACGUGGAACUGGAGAAGACCACAGAAGCUCUGCAUUUGGAACUUUUCCUGGAUUCUGUCCCAUUUGCUUCUUCCCAUGACCGAUUUUGAUCUACCACCCUGGCCCAUCAUGCCCCCAUCCUGUACCUAUAAAAACUCUGAGACCCUCGCAGGCAGAGACACAAGCCGCUGGACGUCGAGAGGAACACAUUGGUGGAGGAACUCACAGGUGGCUGGAUGUCAAGAGGAACACACUGGCGGAAGAGCACACUGACAAGCACCAGCAGACAACGGCACGCUGGGGCACGCCGGCAGGCCAUCAACCUGCAGAACGAUGUGGAGUUUGGCCUGGGCAGUCGGAGGAGAGUCCAGCUGCUGAGCAGUCCGACUCCAGGAAAAAAACACCUUCCCAUUCCAUCUCCCUUCUGGCUCUCCCAUCUUCUGAGAGCUACUUCCAUUCAAUAAAACCUUGCACUCAUUCUCCAAGCCCAAGUGUGAUCUGAUUCUUCCGGUACACCAAGGCAAGAAACCCUGGGAUACCGAAAGCCCUCUGUCGUUGCGAUAAGGCAGGGGGUCUAAUUGAGCUGUGUAACACAAGUUGCCUACAGACGGCUAAACUGAAAGAGC